GACCCGUGUCUUCACGAUGCUCGUGUCGAAGGGAGCCGACUUGGGGUCCACGGCGGGCAAUCGAGUGGUGCAGCGGCUGGAAACAAAGCAGGCGAGAGGCAACCGCUUUGCCGUCACGCAGCUCGACGGACAGCAGUUUG
rnacentral:SRP_RNA from 1 species